CGUUACUCGCGGUGGCGACUGAACCGUCGUGGCUGACCGUUCCUCGCGGUGGCGUGGCAUAUCAAUCUUCUCCUCACCGUAUGAGAGGAUACUGCUGAUGCGGCGGCGGAGUUGAACCUGCCGGACGAUGUAUUCAUAGUAGAACUGAACACAGCGGACCGGAGCCGUGGGCCACGCAAACCGUUGCUACUAUUCCAUUACUACAAACCUACAGGAGCUACUCAUAUAAAGCAUGAAACUUUGGCAAAGAAAAGGCACAAAGACAAAGCAAGCAGGAGACCAGUCGUUGGUCCAAAAAACAAAAUAACCCAUUUGCUGAUUUUGAGUUCACCCUCCUUUGCUUUUUCUGCAUUCUCGAGGUUAGUCCUAAAGUUGCAACUUUUCCUUUACUUAAAAAAACCCAAAACAUUACAUUUUUUAAAGAACAAGAUAGUGAGAUCUUGAAAUGUUUGAUGGAGAUUGUUUUGAAUUUAAAACAAUGACAUUCUUAUUCGGUUAUUCCCCUGAUGCGUUUUUUGAUGUGACCAAUGAGAUCUCUGAUGUGGUCGGAGGGAUCCAAAAGAAGAAGUUAAAAGCACAAAAUCAAAGCAAAAACUUGGGUUGUAAUUGGAUUAUAAGGUGGAUAAAGGUCCAAUGCACACAAUCAAUAAAACAAGUGGCUGAUGACUGUAGCAUACAAAUUAGAAAUGAUGCGAUGGCUGUGAGCCUGUGACCCAAUCUUGAUUUAGUCGGGUCCUAAAUUUGUCUUGAUUGAGGAGGGUUUAGGCUGUGGACCGGCUUGCAGUGGACCGUGCUAAACGAUGGGUUUGCAGAUCUGGUCCUGGCCUACGUCGAUUUAGUCCUCAUGUGGACUAAACCGGAUCUAGUUGGUAAAUUUACAAAUAGUUGUCACGCCGUUUCUACAUUCCUAGUGUCUGAUACAAAUAGUUCUCACGCCAUUUCCA